GAUGAACGCUGGCGGCGUGCCUAAUACAUGCAAGUCGAGCGAACAGACGAGGAGCUUGCUCCUCUGACGUUAGCGGCGGACGGGUGAGUAACACGUGGAUAACCUACCUAUCCGACUGGGAUAACUUCGGGAAACCGGAGCUAAUACCGGAUAAUAUAUUGAACCGCAUGGUUCAAUAGUGAAAGACGGUUUUGCUGUCACUUAUAGAUUGAUCCGCGCCGCAUUAGUUAGUUGGUAAGGUAACUGCUUACCAAGGCGGCGAUGGGUAACCGACCCGAAGGGGUGGUCGCACAGACUGGAACUGAGGCACGGUACAGACUCCUACGGGAGGCAGCAGUAGGGAAUCUUCCGCAAGGGGCGAAAGCCUGACAGAGCAACGCCGCGUGAGUGAUGAAGGUGUUCGGAUCGGAAAACUCUGUAAGUAGGGAAGAAGAAAUGUGUAAGUAACUAUGCACGUCUUGACGGUACCGAAACAGAAAGCCACGGCUAACUCCGUG
rnacentral:rRNA from 1 species